UCUACCCGGUUCCUUCUUCUUUAUUCUUUUUCUUUUUCUUCUUCCUUCUUUCUUUUUUCUUCUUCUAUGUUCUUCUUUUCUCCCCCGAAUACACAGACCGAGUGAGAGGGAGAUGAGAUCAGAUAGAUGAGAGAGAUCAAGAGGGAGUAAGAUGGAGAGAGAGAGAAAAAGAGAGAGAGAUCACUCGGGAGAGAUCCGGCGAAAUAGAGAGAGAUGGAUACCUUGAAACCGAGAAGAGGCGGAGCCGUUCUUCGGCGUGUAGGGUACGAUUUCAGGCCGAUCUUCCGGUGGGUUGACUCCGGUGGUGCCUAGGAUGCGAUUUUCGGUGAAACCUGAAGGAAACCCGUGACCCAGGGACCCAUUGACCCGUGAAACCAAAUCCUCCAGGAACAAUUUUUCAACGAGUUUUUCGGUGAGAUCAGAGACGAUUUCCGGUGGAUUUUCUAGGAAAAAUCCUCUAGGACGACGAGCUGAGACUGCACAAAAGGGUUAUGAUUGCGCAGGUUCUGAACAUUAUGGAUUGGAUUAACUGUUAGCUUAAGAGAUCUAAUUCUAAUGUAGUUAGGUUGUAGUGCUUUGUACUUAUCAAUAUUUGUACUAUUUUGUAUGUAACAUGUUUAGGAAUUUACUUGUAUUUAGUAAAUUUCCAUGUAUGCUUUUGUGUCAUAUGUGAUACAGGUUUUCUUUGUAAUUAGUGUAAAGGACAUUAAUGGACUUUUAAUAAAUGUCUAGAGGAAUUUCGGUCAGCUCAAUGUAUUGUGUUAUAAUUGUCACGUCUUUAUGUAAAAAUUAUAUUCCGCUGCUAUUUUAUAACUUUGAUGACGUUGUAACAUCACGUGUAAAAUCGAAAUUUUCACUUACGCCUUUUUGUAAAAGGCGGGUCAUUACAAAAGUAUUAGUUAUAACUAAUAUUGACUAAAAUUAUAUACAUGCAGAAAAUAAAUA